UGGAAAUGAUUGGAGAAGAGCAACACCCAAUA
rnacentral:scRNA from 1 species